rnacentral:rRNA from 1 species
GAUAAACGCUGGCGGCGUGCAUAACACAUGCAAGUCGAACGAAGUCGCGAACGGGUGAGUAACACGUGAGUAACCUCCCUUACACAAGGGGAAAGCCUUGGGAAACGAAGAAUAAUACCCUAUAGUGUAAGAUGGACUUGCGUCUGAUUAGCUAGUUGGUUGGAUAAAGGCCCACCAAGGCAACGAUCAGAAGCCGGUUUGAGAGAGUGUACGGCACCCUUGGGACAGGGACACGUACCAAACUCCACGAGAGGAAGCAGGGGGGAAAUUUGCACAAUGGGGGAAACCAGGAGGCAGCGAGGCCGCGUGAUUUAGAUGGCCUUCGGGUUGUAAAACUCUUUUUUAUGGGAUGCAGUACCAUAAGAAUAAGGUCCGGCUAAAUACGUGCCAGCAGCCGCGGUAAUUC